rnacentral:rRNA from 1 species
CUAACGUCCGUCGUGAAGAGGGAAACAACCCAGACCGCCAGCUAAGGUCCCAAAGUCAUGGUUAAGUGGGAAACGAUGUGGGAAGGCCCAGACAGCCAGGAUGUUGGCUUAGAAGCAGCCAUCAUUUAAAGAAAGCGUAAUAGCUCACUGGUCGAGUCGGCCUGCGCGGAAGAUGUAACGGGGCUAAACCAUGCACCGAAGCUGCGGCAGCGACACUAUGUGUUGUUGGGUAGGGGAGCGUUCUGUAAGCCUGUGAAGGUGUACUGUGAGGUAUGCUGGAGGUAUCAGAAGUGCGAAUGCUGACAUAAGUAACGAUAAAGCGGGUGAAAAGCCCGCUCGCCGGAAGACCAAGGGUUCCUGUCCAACGUUAAUCGGGGCAGGGUGAGUCGACCCCUAAGGCGAGGCCGAAAGGCGUAGUCGAUGGGAAACAGGUUAAUAUUCCUGUACUUGGUGUUACUGCGAAGGGGGGACGGAGAAGGCUAUGUUGGCCGGGCGACGGUUGUCCCGGUUUAAGCGUGUAGGCUGAUUUUCCAGGCAAAUCCGGAAAAUCAAGGCUGAGGCGUGAUGACGAGGCACUACGGUGCUGAAGCAACAAAUGCCCUGCUUCCAGGAAAAGCCUCUAAGCAUCAGGUAACAUCAAAUCGUACCCCAAACCGACACAGGUGGUCAGGUAGAGAAUACCAAGGCGCUUGAGAGAACUCGGGUGAAGGAACUAGGCAAAAUGGUGCCGUAACUUCGGGAGAAGGCACGCUGAUAUGUAGGUGAAGCGACUUGCUCGUGGAGCUGAAAUCAGUCGAAGAUACCAGCUGGCUGCAACUGUUUAUUAAAAACACAGCACUGUGCAAACACGAAAGUGGACGUAUACGGUGUGACGCCUGCCCGGUGCCGGAAGGUUAAUUGAUGGGGUUAGCGGUAACGCGAAGCUCUUGAUCGAAGCCCCGGUAAACGGCGGCCGUAACUAUAACGGUCCUAAGGUAGCGAAAUUCCUUGUCGGGUAAGUUCCGACCUGCACGAAUGGCGUAAUGAUGGCCAGGCUGUCUCCACCCGAGACUCAGUGAAAUUGAACUCGCUGUGAAGAUGCAGUGUACCCGCGGCAAGACGGAAAGACCCCGUGAACCUUUACUAUAGCUUGACACUGAACAUUGAGCCUUGAUGUGUAGGAUAGGUGGGAGGCUUUGAAGUGUGGACGCCAGUCUGCAUGGAGCCGACCUUGAAAUACCACCCUUUA